UACGGAGGGGGCUAGCGUUGUUCGGAAUUACUGGGCGUAAAGCGCACGUAGGCGGCUUUGUAAGUUAGAGGUGAAAGCCCGGGGCUCAACUCCGGAACUGCCUUUAAGACUGCAUCGCUAGAAUUGUGGAGAGGUGAGUGGAAUUCCGAGUGUAGAGGUGAAAUUCGUAGAUAUUCGGAAGAACACCCAGUGGCGAAGGCGACUCACUGGACACAUAUUGACGCUGAGGUGCGAAAGCGUGGGGAGCAAACAGG
rnacentral:rRNA from 1 species